rnacentral:rRNA from 1 species
GUGUCAGCCGCCGCGGUAAUACGGAGGGUGCAAGCGUUAUCCGGAUUCACUGGGUUUAAAGGGUGCGUAGGAGGGCAGGGAAGUCCGUGGUGAAAUCCUAGAGCUUAACUCUAGAACUGCCGUGGAUACUCUCUGUCUUGAAUCCCGUGGAGAUGAGCGGAAUAUGUCAUGUAGCGGUGAAAUGCUUAGAUAUGACAUAGAACACCAAUUGCGAAGGCAGCUCGUUACACGAAGAUUGACUCUGAGGCACGAAAGCGUGGGGAUCAAACAGGAUUAGAUACCCUGGUAGUCCACGCCCUAAACUAUGGAUACUCGACAUACGCGAUACACUGUGUGUGUCUGAGCGAAAGCAUUAAGUAUCCCACCUGGGAAGUACGACCGCAAGGUUGAA